GACAGGGUUUCGCCAUGUUGGCCAGGCUGGUCUCGAACUCCUGACUUCAGACAGUAUGCCCGCCUCGACCUCUCAGAGUGCUGGGAUUACAGGCAGGUGUGAACCACUCUGCCCGACCAAAAUUCUGAAGUUUCUAAAGAAAAACUUUCCUGAAGACAAAUGGGUAUUUUGGGGAAAACAGAUGUUUGUAAAGGAUUGAUCUUCCUAGUCUAGUUCCAGCUCAUCUAGCUUGGCAGCUCUGCUCACACAAGCAUCUGGCGCUUCCAACAAGUGUUCCUGCCACUCCUGUGGGCGGCAGCCAGUCAGGUCUGGCCCGGGCAUUCAUCGGGGUGGCCACUGUCUGCAAGCCUCCCGGGCCGGCUCCAUGCAGCUCCUGUAACUGAAUGAUAAUUCCCCAGCCUUGUAGCAGCUGGGUCCUGCUCUAGUUGGGACCUUUCCCUUUUGGCCUGGAGCCUAUUGGGUACAGGGACCCCAACAGACUGGUCUUCCUCACUUCACCUCCCUGAAAUUACUUCCUGAGAGGGGGAAGGACACCCUGGUUCAUCCUGCUCCUCAAGACUUUCUCAGACUGAAAUGUCCACAUCCCGUUUCUUCUACCGGUCCCUAACUCUGGGGAGAUACUUUUAUCUGCACGUCAAUGCCUCAGAAGCCUGAAGGCCAAGGUUGCCAGCCCAGGUUAUUUCUGGUUCUUCUCAACAUGCUCACCUGUUCUCUGAUGGAUUCUUUGCAUCUCCCUGGACCCCGGCCGGGUGAAGACAAACACAGGGGCACCAAGGCGAGGGCUGCUCUGGAGGCACCACCCUGCUCAUUUACGGCCAAAUCCACUAGGGGAAGCUGUGCAGCAGGGGUGAAGGGCGGGCCCGCAAAUAACGUUCAUAAACCUUCCUGCUUGGAGUCCCAAGUAGCCCCUCUGAGGGGUAACGUAGAGUCAUCUGGGGACCUCAGUUGCAGAGGUGGGCCUGGAGCCUGAAUUUUAUGUCCUCACACUGGCCUAUCCUACCUGUCAUUCACUGCUUAGCCAGGCUGGGCCCGGCAGAUGACCUGGCCUUUCCACUUCCUGCUAAGCGUCCCUGGAAGACCCUCCUGCAAGGCAAGUCUCCGAGCAGGCCCAGCAGGCUCUGCUCCACACCCCUCUCCCACCAGGCGCCCCUGCAAGUCCAUGCUGGGAUCUCUAUAUUAGCCAACCUCAGGGAGGUCAAAGGGGCCUGUCUGGAGUAGAAAGGUGAAGCUACACCUUGGCAGCGCCUACUCUGGGGAGCAUCAUUAGGGGCUCAGCCAAACCCAAUCCUCCAGAGGCUGCUUUCAGUUCUCAGACAAAAAGUGUGAGUCUGAUUUUA